UUCUGAAAAUCUCCUCUUCUCUUGGCGGAGGAAGAAAGGGCUGUGUGGACCAGAUGGAUUCUUAUCUGCUGGACCCACAGCCGAGUCCAUGAAAGCUUCUUGGAGGAAUGCGGCCUUCAUGGGUUGUCGAGUUCCUGGGUGGGAAGCAGCGAUGGAAGAGAGGGAGAAAGAUGCGACCUUGACACCUGAGCUUGGCCAGCGGUGGCAUCCAGGCUGCAGGGAAGAAGCCCUUAUGCCUGCCCGAUCAGGCGCCCAGUCGUGUCCGACUCUGCGACCCCGUGGACUGUAGCCCGCCAGGCUCCUCUGUCCGUGGGAUUCUCCAGCUUUCCCAGCAUCAGGUUCAACGUGAGUCUGCAUAAAAUCCCGAUUGUCCGCCAGCCCCGCGGGCUCCCUCCUCCAGAGGUGCAGAAAGAGAACUCAGUCCUCCCGGGCUGGCAGCCACAGUAGCCCUUUUAGGGGGGCCCCCCGCCCUCUCCCAGGGCUGGACAAGCUCCCCACUGUUAGCUGUCUCUGCACCCCACGCAGGAGCCGGCCAGCAGAGCCCUUUAGCAGCCGG
ensembl:lncRNA